GCGGAAGUGGGUGUUCCCGGGUCUCUGCUGCCCAGCUGUGCCCGCUGCCGUCUUGGGGUCCCGGGGUGCGCGGGUUGGGCUGGGUGAGCUCAGAGGCACCUUGUCGGCAGCCGAGCCUGAAGAGGCGACCUCGAAACGCCUCGUGAGACCUUUCGCGGGCACACGCCCUUCGCGUUCCUCCGCUUCCUCCCACGUUUCUUCAGCCCCUGGCGGGGCGCUGGGGUGCCCGGUAGUUAAGGGUGGGGUGGCAGCGAGCGUUUCUGUGCACCCGCAGCGUGCCACGCCCGUGCUAAGCACUUUGCCUAUAGAGCCAGUGGCUUAAUUCUGCAAUAGCACAGUGAAGAACUUCGCCUCAUUUUACAGACGUGGAAACAGGCUCAUCAAGUGCUCUGUAAUUGUAAAACCUGGGAUAACAAAGGAGCAAAACGCAAUUUAGAGAAUCUAUUUGCUGAUCUCCAGUCUAGAGUGUUACUGAUGGGUUUCUGACACAGAAAUAUCUGGCUGAGAUGGUCCAACAUACCGGGAAACUCAUUCUCUCCUAUGAGAAAGUCAUAUUCUCUGAUAGCAUCUUUGGUCACCUGAAACCUAGUGUCCAUUGAAGGCACAGCUCUGGGAACUGCAAAACUGUUCUGUGGAGUGUUAUGGAGAGUAAAGCCAGGCAGACCAGCUGCUUCUGAGGGCUGUGGAUAAAAUAGAGAAUGAUACACUUACAUCCUCUACCUUUUGUUUCCAGGCACAGAUCAUUUCAGGUGCCUUCUGUGCAGAAAUAGCUGAAUAAACUUGGAGCUUGGUCUCUUUGUUGUUGAAUUUACAAUGUUAUUUGAAUGUAAGACCUUGUAGAUAUGACAUUUGAAAGUUAGGGCUCUGGAAUGGCACUGCCUGGCUUCAGAUCCUUCAUUUUUUUGCUAAAUGACAACAAACAAGAGGCUUAGGCUCUGUGCCUCCGUUUCAUCAUAGUCAAUUCUGGUAUUUGCAGUAGUUAUGUUGAAUAAAGUCACCCAGUACACGGACUUAGCAAAUACUGCUCCUUGGAAACCACAGCUCCUAGGGAAGAUACAGGGUUAGGUUCCUGUGAACCUCUGAUCACAACAUUUUUAUCAACAGAUCAAUAUAC
rnacentral:lncRNA from 1 species